rnacentral:rRNA from 1 species
GACGAACGCUGGCGGCGUGCUUAACACAUGCAAGUCGAGCGGUAAGGCCCUUUCGGGGGUACGACGAGCGGCGAACGGGUGAGUAACACGUGGGUGACCUGCCCUUAGCUCUGGGAUAAGCCUGGGAAACCGGGUCUAAUACCGGAUAUGACUCCAUGACGCAUGUUGUGGGGUGGAAAGCCUUGUGCGGCUAGGGAUGGGCCCGCGGCCUAUCAGCUUGUUGGUGGGGUGAUGGCCUACCAAGGCGACGACGGGUAGCCGGCCUGAGAGGGCGACCGGCCACACUGGGACUGAGACACGGCCCAGACUCCUACGGGAGGCAGCAGUGGGGAAUCUUGCGCAAUGGGCGAAAGCCUGGCGCAGCGACGCCGCGUGAGGGAUGACGGCCU